CUCUGCCUGUCCCCUGGGCUGAGUGGGUUGCUAGGAGACCAAGUGGAUGGAGCUUAGCCUUCUAACUGGCAGCAAUUGGAUAAAAACCAUUAUUCCUCUACCUCUAAUUAGGACUUAAUUUUCCUUUUCUUUUUGUUGUAUGAACGUAGAGGCACGGAUGAGGGAUUGUGCUGCCAAGUUUAGUGUUUCUGGGGUGUGUAGUUUUGUUGUUUUGUCCUAGGCCAAAAUUUCAUUACCCUUUUAUAUAGAUAGAUUUGGACUGAUUUCCACUCUUUCUUUCCUUCUUCCUCUCCGCAGCGUGCCUCUUCCGGUUCAACGCCCUCUCCUUAGUCUACCUUCUCUACCUGCUUCUCUUGCCGUGGUUCCUGGGUCCCACGGAACAGACUAUAAAAGGUCACACGGGCCGCCUCCUCCGAGCCCUUUUGGCCACCAGCAUCCUCUUCCUGCUUGCCCACUUGGCCUUCCAGAUAUGCCUCUAUACGGUGCCCGGCUUGGACCAGCGGCUGGGAUACAACUGCAGCACAUGGGAAACCCUCGCCCAGCACAUCGGGGUCACAAGGUAAGAAAGGGAGAAAUGGGAAUCAUUUGCAGAUAUUGAUCUAUGGAUUGGAAAUUACUUGAAGACUCUUAAGGAAUAAUUUGGGUCGUUUUUGAAAGUCUUUGGAGAGGAAUUUUUGAUAUUGUGUGGUUGAAGGCUUUCAUGGCUAGAAUCAGUGGGUUGCUGUGAGUUUUUGGGGGCUUUAUGGCCAUCCAUGUUCCAGCAGCAUUCUCUCCUGACGUUUCGCCUGCAUCUGUGGCUAAUGGCAUCUUCAGAGGGUUCUGCUGGCAGUGAAGCAAGAACCCAGGUCUGUGUAAAGCAAGCAUGAAUGUUGCAAUUAGCAAGCUUGAUUAGCAUUGUAUAGCCAUGAAGUUUGCAAAGUCAAUCAGAGACGGUAUUUGCAAAGAGGUAAUGAAGCAAGUGGAGUGUAUAUAUAUCUGUGGAGUAAUGUCCAGGGUGAGAGAAAAAAACCCUUGUCUGAGUGUGUAUGUUGCAAUUAACAAGCUUGAAUACCAUGGAGUAGCCCUGCAGCUGCAAAGUCAAUCAGUG
rnacentral:lncRNA from 11 species